rnacentral:tRNA from 1 species
GUGGGUGUAGCUCAGUGGUAGAGUGCGUGCUUAGCAUGCACAAGGUCCUGGGUUCAAUCUCUAGUAUCUCCA